UUUUGGCCACAUUGGCUUGUGUAAAAUAAAGAUAUGAGUGUGAUUAUGUAUCCGCCUCAUCUCACAUUUUAGGUUGAUAUGACAAACUUAAGCAACAUUAUUGUUGAUUUGACGCUGUGUUUGUAUCCACCUGAUGAAUGGAAAACUUUCACUGCCACAAUGGAUCCCUUGUAUUUCCCCUGCCAAACAGUUGCAAAAUACCCACGGCCCACAAUCUGAAGAGGUAGAAGAUUCCGGUAAAUCAACGGGACAUGUAGGCGUCUCCAUUGGGCGGCAAUGAUCAGCAGGAGGCAGAGGACGAGCAAAGUCAGAAUUAAUGCAGCAGCUUUCAUGUUUUUAUCUAAAAAGAAAA